UACGUAGGGCGCAAGCGUUAUCCGGAAUUAUUGGGCGUAAAGCGCGUGUAGGCGGCAGGCCAAGUCUGCGGUGAAAGCGCCCGGCUCAACUGGGCGAGGUCCGUGGAAACUGGUCAGCUGGAGGACGGUAGAGGCGAGUGGAAUUCCCGGUGAGUGGUGAAAUGCGUAGAGAUCGGGAGGAACACCUGUGGCGAAGGCGGCCCUGCCGC
rnacentral:rRNA from 1 species